AGCGAACGCUAGCGGCGGGCCUAACACAUGCAAGUCGAGCGGGGACCUUCGGGUCUUUAGCGGCGGACGGGUGAGUAACACGUAGGUAAUGUAUCCUCUGGUGGGGAAUAACCGUGGGAAACCAUGGCUAAUACCGCAUAUCGUGCUUCGGCAUGAAAGCCUUCGGGCGCCAGUUGAGCAGCCUGCGUCCCAUUAUUUAGUCCUAGUUGGUGGGGUAAUGGCCUACCAAGGGUACGAUGGGAGCUGGUCUGAGAGGAUGAUCAGCCACACUGGAACUGAGACACGGUCCAGACUCCUACGGGAGGCAGCAGUGGGGAAUAUUGGACAAUGGGCGAAAGCCUGAUCCAGCGACGCCGCGUGGGUGAAGAAGGCCUGC
rnacentral:rRNA from 1 species